AAAAAUAUUAUGAAUUAAAUUAUCGUAAUUUUUAAUUCACAAAUAUUGAAUUUUAAUAGAAUAAAUAUUAUACUAAUAGUAAUAUAUUUUAUAAAGUAACUUAUUAUUUUAAAAAUAAAAUUAUAAAUUAUAAUUUUUAUCAUAUAUCCAAUAAUAAUUUACAAGUUCUCCUUAAAAAUAGCAUUUACCUACCGUAACAAAGUGUACCCUAGAUCACACAAUCCCUCCACAAUCCAAGUUUAAUAAUAGGUCCCACAAGCCACACUAUUUGACCAGCCACGGGCCACCAAGACAGAGACUGCGCGUGGUGAUCUUCCACUUGCUUGUAGUGUGAAAAACAACAGAAAAGAGAAUAUCUAUUUAUUUCGGUUCGGUUUUCUGAUUUCUCCGCCAAAGAGUGCUCAUUUCUUCCUAAUAAUGAGUUUCCCAAUUAACGGAUCCAUAAAUCUCAGAGAGCACUGAACUUCCUGACUUAAAUAACCCGAAGAUCUCUCGAGGAAAUUGGGAUUUUCAGAGCUACUGAAAACGAUGGAAGUUAAAGCAAGAGCUCUCGGGAAAAUCAUGCUGUCCGGUGAACACGCAGUGGUGCGCGGAUCCACUGCAGUCGCUGCAUCCAUUAAUCUCUACACCUAUGUCACCCUUUCUUUUGCUACUGCUGGCAAAUUAAUGCAUAUAUGCUCUUUAAUGGCUUCUCAUUUUUAUUUUGUUGGUUGGUUGUGGUUGUUGACAUUUUGGUUCUGACAAGUUGAAUAUGUAUAUAUGUGAAGGUUUUUUUUUUCGGCUUAUUUUGAGUUGGGAUUGUUUGCAAUGUUGAUUGAAAGAUACCUUUUUGAGAUUAUGUGAAUAUGUGUAUCGUACUUAGCAUAUUUUACUUUCAUUGUGUUCUAGACCCGCAAAGGCCAAGUUUUUGUUUUUUUUUCCCUUUUUUUUUGGGUUGUUUUAUCUG
rnacentral:misc_RNA from 1 species